CCUACGGGUGGCAGCAGUGGGGGAUAUUGCACAAUGGGGGAAACCCUGAUGCAGCGACGCCGCGUGUGGGAAGACGGUCCUAUGAAUUGUCAACCACUGUCCCCAGGGACGAAGAUGACGGUACCUGGGGAGGAAGCUCCGGCUAACGACGUGCCAGCAGCCGCGGUAAUACGUAGGGAGCGAGCUUUGUCCGGAAUUACGUGGUGUAAAGGGAGCGUAGGCGGGGAUGCAAGUUGGGUGUCAAAACUACCGGCUCAACUGGUAGUCGCACCCACAACUGCAGCUCUUGAGUGAAGUAGAGGCAGGCGGAAUGCCGAGUGUAGCGGUGAAAUGCGUAGAUAUUAGGAGGAACACCAGUGGCGAAGGCGGCCUGCUGGGCUUUUACUGACGCUGAGGCUCGAAAGUGUGGGGAGCAAACAGGAUUAGAUACCCUUGUAGUC
rnacentral:rRNA from 1 species